UACGGAGGGUGCGAGCGUUGUCCGGAAUCACUGGGCGUAAAGGGCGCGUAGGCGGCUGGGGAAGUCUGUGGUGAAAGCUCGUGGCUCAACUACGAGUCGGCCAUAGAUACUCCUCAGCUCGAGCACUGUAGAGGCAGGUGGAAUUCCGGGUGUAGCGGUGGAAUGCGUAGAGAUCAUGAGGAAGACCAGUGGCGAAGGCGGGUCUCUGGACAGUUCCUGACACUGAGGCACGAAGGCCAGGGGAGCAAACGGG
rnacentral:rRNA from 1 species